UGGGGAAUAUUGCACAAUGGAGGGAACUCUGAUGCAGCGACGCCGCGUGAACGAAGAAGGCUUUCGAGUCGUAAAGUUCUUUUAUAUGGGAAGAUAAUGACGGUACCAUAAGAAAAAGCCCCGGCUAACUACGUGCCAGCAGCCGCGGUAAUACGUAGGGGGCUAGCGUUGUCCGGAAUCACUGGGCGUAAAGGGUUCGCAGGCGGAAAUGCAAGUCAGGUGUAAAAGGCAGUAGCUUAACUACUGUAAGCAUUUGAAACUGCAUAUCUUGAGAAGAGUAGAGGUAAGUGGAAUUUUUAGUGUAGCGGUGAAAUGCGUAGAUAUUAAAAAGAAUAGCGGUGGCGAAGGCGACUUACUGGGCUCAUUCUGACGCUGAGGAACGAAAGCGUGGGUAGCAAACAGG
rnacentral:rRNA from 1 species